rnacentral:lncRNA from 1 species
CUCUGAGCCGGCCACCAGGUGAGAGCCCAGGCAGGUAACCCUGCGCUCGUCCCUCAGGCGCCCACUCAUCAGCUGGGGAGCCCCAGGGCACGGACACCGGCCCCUAUCCUGGCCCUGCCCGAUCCCCAGGUACCCAGGUGUGCAGGACCGGGGGAUCCCCAACCUUUCCAGCCUCGCUGCAUCUUCCUCCAGCCUUCCGGCUUCCUUCCUUUCCAUGCUGAGCCCACUGACCCCUCCUCAGAAGCCCGGGGCAACCUCAAAACAAAACCAGAAUCCCGGAAUUGCAGUGGGCUUUCUGAGCUGUGCGACCUAGUCCUGCACCAUUCCCCUUCCCAAUAAAUGGCAACAUGACUGGAAACCUUGGAGAAAUCCAAGUCUGGAAAUGCUGGACUUUGCUGUUUCUCUCACACCCACCAGGAGCAUCCUUGGACCAGGCAAGUGGGCAUCCUACACUGUGUGGCACUUUCCUCUAAGUCCCUCUCCAGCAGCUGGGGCCAGCCAAGCCACAGUGCUCUCAGGGCAGGGUACUCCCAGUUCAGACCAAGACCUGUGUGGGCCUGUCCCGUUUCUCCCCUUUAGGGUGCUCUGCAGAGAUCUAGUUCCACCUCCACCAACGACCCCGUGUGCAUAGGUUCAGCUGGAAACUACCAGGAACUCUAGGACUCUUGCCCUGUGGCGUGGUCCUGGGGCCCUGUGGCUGGACCCCAGUUCCAGGACUGCUGCCUGGCAAGCACAUGGCGCCCCCUGGCGGCCACCAGAAUGGUGCUGCCACGAAGCUUCUGGACGUACCCUGGGCACAGGACACAUUCAGGACACUGGGUCAUCAAUGGUCCAUGACCACCUCUUAGCGUGGAGCCAGGUAGAUGGGU